GGCUCAGACUGAACGCUGGCGGCAUGGUUAAAGCAUGCAAGUCGAACGGAGCCGCAAGGCUCAGUGGCGGAAGGGUGAGUAAUACGAUUGAACGUACCCUGAGGUGGGGGAUAGGCACGGGAAACUGUGCGUAAUACCCCAUGAUCUCUACGGAGCAAAGAUUUAUCGCCUUGGGAGCGGCAAUCGACCUAUCAGGUAGUUGGCGGGGUAAAGGCCCACCAAGCCUAUGACGGGUAGCAGGUGUGAGAGCACGGCCUGCCACAUCGGGACUGAGACACUGCCCGGACUCCUACGGGAGGCUGCAGCGACGAAUCUUCCGCAAUGGACGAAAGUCUGACGGAGCGAUGCCGCGUGUGGGAUGAAGCGGCUUUGCCGUGUAAACCACUGUCAGGGGGUAGAAACCAUGAUCACCCCCAAAGGAAGGGUCGACUAACCCUGUGCCAGCAGUCGCGGUAAGACAGGGGACCCGAGCGUUAGUCGGAAUUACUGGGCUUAAAGGGUGCGUAGGCGGACCUGUAAGUGUCGUGUGAAAGCCCACCGCUCAACGGUGGAACUGCACGGCAAACUGCAGGUCUCGAGGUUGGUAGAGGCCGGUGGAACGAUUGGUGGAGCGGUGGAAUGCGUAGAUAUCAAUCGGAACGCCAAAGGUGAAGACAGCCGGCUGGGCCAAUCCUGACGCUGAGGCACGAAAGCGUGGGGAGCAAACAGGAUUAGAUACCCUGGUAGUCCACGCCCUAAACGAUGUGUGCUGAAUCACGGCAGCUCUGACGCUGUCGGGAUUGUAGAGAAAUUGGUAAGCACACCGCCUGGGGAG
rnacentral:rRNA from 1 species